CCUACGGGAGGCAGCAGUGAGGAAUAUUGGUCAAUGGACGAGAGUCUGAACCAGCCAAGUAGCGUGAAGGGUGACUGCCCUAUGGGUUGUAAACUUCUUUUAUAAAGGAAUAAAACGAGGCACGUGUGCCUUUUUGCAUGUACUUUAUGAAUAAGGAUCGGCUAACUCCGUGCCAGCAGCCGCGGUAAUACGGAGGAUCCGAGCGUUAUCCGGCUUUAUUGGGUUUAAAGGGAGCGUAGAUGGGUUGUUAAGUCAGUUGUUAAAGUUUGCGGCUCAACCGUAAAAUUGCAAUUGAUACCGGCAGUCUUGAGUACAGUUGAGGUAGGCGGAAUUCGUGGUGUAGCGGUGAAAUGCUUAGAUAUCACGAAGAACCCCGAUUGCGAAGGCAGCUUACUAAACUGUGACUGACAUUGAUGCUCGAAAGUGUGGGUAUCAAACAGGAUUAGAUACCCCUGUAGUC
rnacentral:rRNA from 1 species